UGUAGAUAGAUGGCCCGUGCUGUUGUUCCGUUGAAUUUUAAUGCAUUUCUUGAGAAAGCAAAGUUGAAAGAUGAUGGUAGCAAUUACACGGACUGGGUCCGUAACUUGAGGAUUAUCCUCAUUGCUGCACAGAAGAAUUACGUCCUGGAAGCACUGCUAGGUGCCAGACCUGCUGCAGGAGCAACACUAGAUGUUAUGAACGUCUGGCAGAGCAAAGCUGAUGACUGCUCGAUAGUUCAAUGUGCCAUGCUUUACGGCUUAGAACCGGGACUUCAACGGCGUUUUGAACAUCAUGGAGCAUAUGAGAUGUUCCAGGAGUUGAAGUUAAUAUUUCAAGAAAAUGCCCGGAUUGAGAGAUAUGAAGUCUCCAAUAAGUUCUACAGCUACAAGAUGGAGGAGAAUAGUUCUGUCAGUGAGCAUAUACUCAAAAUGUCUGGGUAUAACAAUCACUUGAUUCAACUCGAAGUUAAUCUUCCGGAUGAUAGUGUCAUUGACAGAAUUCUUCAAUCACUGCCACCAAGCUACAAGAUCUUCGUGAUGAACUAUAAUAUGCACGGGAUGGAUAAGACAAUUCCCGAGCUCUUCGCGAUGCUAAAGGCUGCGGCGGUAGAAAUCAAGAAGGAGCAUCAAGUGUUGAUGGUCAACAAGACCACCAGUUUCAAGAAAAAGGGUAAAGGGAAGAAGAAGGGGAACUUCAAGAAGAACGACAAACAAGUUGCUGCUCAAGAGAAGAAACCCAAGUCUGGACCUAAACCUGAGACUGAGUGCUUCUACUGCAAAGGAACUGGUCACUGGAAGCAGAACUACCCCAAGUAUUUGGCAGAAAAGAAGGAUGGCAAGGUGAACAAAGAGACUACAGAUUAAGAGAAGAUUGGCUAAGGACGAGGUGACGAUGCGUGUGGGAAAUGGUUCCAAAGUCGAUGUGAUCGCGGUCGGCACGCUACCUCUACAUCUACCUUCGGGAUUAGUUUUAGACCUGAAUAAUUGUUAUUUGGUGCCAGCGUUGAGCACGAACAUUAUAUCUGGAUCUUGUUUGAUGCGAGACGGUUAUUCAUUUAAGUCAGAGAAUAAUGAUUGUUCUAUUUAUAUGAGUAAUAUAUUUUAUGGUCAUGCACCC
rnacentral:rRNA from 1 species